UUCCAGUAAUAGAAUUUUGGCCUGUUUACAUAAGUAAUUCCCACAUUUCCAGCACAAUCGCCCCUCGGGGUAAUCCUUACUUUUGUAUUAAUAGGUAACACUAUGUCUAAAACUACUACUGGCACUGUAAAAUGGUUCAACGAAGCUAAAGGUUUCGGUUUCAUCGAACAAGAAUCUGGUCCAGAUGUUUUCGCUCACUUCAGCGCCAUUUCAGGUUCAGGCUUCAAAACCCUGGCUGAAGGCCAAAAAGUUAGCUUCACUGUGACCCAAGGCCAAAAAGGCCCACAGGCUGAAAACAUCACCGCUAUCUAAUUCCUUGCGGAUUUAGAAGUGUGAUUAAAAAGGCGAGAUGAAAAUCUCGCCUUUUUUA
rnacentral:sRNA from 1 species